AAGACUAUAGACCUGCGGAGUACCUGCGGAGGGAUCAUUAUUGAUUGAUAAAAGGAUGUGCUGGCAAAGAAAUUCUAUUUUUUUUUUGCAUUGUGCACUCCUGAAAUCUUCAUCCACCAGUGCAUUUUGUAGACAAAUCAAUAAAUUAAUUUUUGUUGUUUGUCUAUGUUUUUUAUACACAUUAUCAGCUUUAUGGAAUGGUGUUCUUGAUUUAUCAAAAGUCAAAAAAUUUAAAACAAC
rnacentral:misc_RNA from 1 species